rnacentral:tRNA from 15 species
GGUCCCGAAGCUGAACUGGUUCAAGCGCUCGGUUGAAGCCCAAGAGAUGGCGGUUCGAUUCCGUCCGGGACCACCA